GAUGAACGCUGGCGGCGUGCUUAACACAUGCAAGUCGAACGAUGAAGCCCAGCUUGCUGGGUGGUUUAGUGGCGAACGGGUGAGUAACACGUGAGUAACCUGCCCUUAACUCUGGGAUAAGCCUGGGAAACUGGGCCUAAUACCGGCUAGGAGCGUCCACCGCCUGGCGGGUGUUGGAAAGAUUUAUCGGUUUUGGAUGGACUCGCGGCCUAUCAGCUUGUUGGUGAGGUAAUGGCUCACCAAGGGGACGACGGGUAGCCGGCCUGAGAGGGUGACCGGCCACACUGGGACUGAGACACGGCCCAGACUCCUACGGGAGGCAGCAGUGGGGAAUAUUGCACAAUGGGCGCAAGCCUGAUGCAGCGACGCCGCGUGAGGGAUGACGGCCUUCGGGUUGUAAACCUCUUUCAGUAGGGAAGAAGCGAAAGUGACGGUACCUGAAGAAGAAGCACCGGCUAACUACGUG
rnacentral:rRNA from 1 species